GAUGAACGCUGGCGGCGUGCCUAAUACAUGCAAGUCGAGCGAACAGAUAAGGAGCUUGCUCCUUUGAAGUUAGCGGCGGACGGGUGAGUAACACGUGGGUAACCUACCUAUAAGACUGGGAUAACUUCGGGAAACCGGAGCUAAUACCGGAUAACAUUUAGAACCGCAUGGUUCUAAAGUGAAAGAUGGUUUUGCUAUCACUUAUAGAUGGACCCGCGCCGUAUUAGCUAGUUGGUAAGGUAACGGCUUACCAAGGCGACGAUACGUAGCCGACCUGAGAGGGUGAUCGGCCACACUGGAACUGAGACACGGUCCAGACUCCUACGGGAGGCAGCAGUAGGGAAUCUUCCGCAAAGGGCGAAAGCCUGACGGAGCAACGCCGCGUGAGUGAUGAAGGGUUUCGGCUCGUAAAACUCUGUUAUUAGGGAAGAACAAAUGUGUAAGUAACUGUGCACAUCUUGACGGUACCUAACCAGAAAGCCACGGCUAACUACGUG
rnacentral:rRNA from 1 species